GCCUUCGUGGUGUAGUGGUCAGCACGGUUGACGCGAAACCGAGAGGUCCGUGGUUCGAUUCCCGGCGAAGGCG
rnacentral:tRNA from 1 species